GACGAACGCUGGCGGCGUGCUUAACACAUGCAAGUCGAACGGAAAGGCCUGCUUUCCCUUGUGGAUUGCGGGUACUCGAGUGGCGAACGGGUGAGUAACACGUGAGUGAUCUGCCCCCAACUUGGGUAUAAGCCUGGGAAACUGGGUCUAAUUCCCGAUAGGACUGCAGGGUGGUGCCUGUGGUGGAAAACGAUUUUCUAGUGGUUGGGGAUGAGCUCGCGGCCUAUCAGCUUGUUGGUGGGGUAAUGGCCUACCAAGGCGGCGACGGGUAGCCGGCCUGGGGGGGUGGACGGGCACAUUGGGACGGAGAUACGGCCCAGGCGCCUACGGGAGGCAGCAGUGGGGAAGAUUGCACAAGGGGCGGAAGCCUGAUGCAGCGACGCCGCGUGGGGGAUGACGGCCUUCGGGUUGUAAACUCCUUUCGGCCGCGAGGAAGCCACCUGGUUGGAAGGGUGGUGACGGUAGUGGUAGAAGAAGCACCGGCUAACUACGUG
rnacentral:rRNA from 1 species